UACGGAGGGUGCAAGCGUUAUCCGGAUUUACUGGGUUUAAAGGGUGCGUAGGUGGGCAGGUAAGUCAGUGGUGAAAUCUCCGGGCUUAACCCGGAAACUGCCAUUGAUACUAUCUGUCUUGAAUAUCCUGGAGGUGAGCGGAAUAUGUCAUGUAGCGGUGAAAUGCCUAGAUAUGACAUAGAACACCAAUUGCGAAGGCAGCUCACUACGGGAUUAUUGACACUGAGGCACGAAAGCGUGGGGAUCAAACAGG
rnacentral:rRNA from 1 species